rnacentral:rRNA from 1 species
UACAUGCAAGUCGAGGGAGAUUGUUGGAUUCGUCUGACAUGAAACCGGCGCACGGGUGCGUAACACGUAUGCAACCUACCUUUAACUGGGGUAUAGCUCAGAGAAAUCUGAAUUAAUCCCCCAUAAGACUACGACAUGGCAUCAUGAUGUAGUUAAAGCUCCGGCGGUUAAGGAUGGGCAUGCGGUACAUUAGCUAGUUGGUGAGGUAAUGGCUCACCAAGGCUACGAUGUAUAGGGGGUCUGAGAGGAUGAUCCCCCACACUGGUACUGAGACACGGACCAGACUCCUACGGGAGGCAGCAGUAGGGAAUAUUGGUCAAUGGACGCAAGUCUGAACCAGCCAUGCCGCGUGAAGGAUGAAGGCCCUCUGGGUCGUAAACUUCUUUUAUUAGGGAAGAAAACAUGGGAUGCGUCCCAAACUGACGGUACUUAAUGAAUAAGGAUCGGCUAACUUCGUGCCAGCAGCCGCGGUAAGACGAAGGAUCCAAGCGUUGUCCGGAUUUACUGGGUUUAAAGGGUGCGUAGGCGGAAAAUUAAGUCAGUGGUGAAAGCCCGCAGCUCAACUGUGGAACUGCCAUUGAAACUGAUUUUCUUGAAUAUAGCUGAGGCAGAUGGAAUAUAACAUGUAGCGGUGAAAUGCUUAGAUAUGUUAUAGAACACCGAUUGCGAAGGCAGUCUGCUAAACUAUUAUUGACGCUGAGGCACGAAAGCGUGGGGAGCGAACAGGAUUAGAUACCCUGGUAGUCCACGCCCUAAACGUUGAUUACUCGCUGUUGGCGAUAUACUGUCAGUGGCUAAGCGAAAGCGUUAAGUAAUCCACCUGGGAAGUACGACCGCAAGGUUGAAACUCAAAGGAAUUGACGGGGGCCCGCACAAGCGGAGGAGCAUGUGGUUUAAUUCGAUGAUACGCGAGAAACCUUACCUGGGCUUAAAUGUC